UUCGAAUCUAUCUCGUGCUUUGCUCAGUAGCGACUAAGGAAGACACUGAAUAAUGUCGGAACAGAUGCUAAUGUUAGUGAAAAUCCAGGGAUUUGUGCUUAUAUCCUAACGGGCAUAUCGAUUCUGUUAAUCGUAGCAACUUUACCUUUGUCCUUCAUCUUCUGCAUCAAGGUGGUUCAAGAAUAUGGAAG